UACGGGAGGCAGCAGUGGGGAAUAUUGCACAAUGGGCGCAAGCCUGAUGCAGCCAUGCCGCGUGUAUGAAAAAGGCCUUCGGGUUGUAAAGUACUUUCAGUCGUGAGGAAGGUGUUAAGGUUAAUAACCUUAGCAAUUGACGUUAGCGACAGAAGAAGCACCGGCUAACUCCGUGCCAGCAGCCGCGGUAAUACGGAGGGUGCGAGCGUUAAUCGGAAUUACUGGGCGUAAAGGGCACGCAGGCGGUUAAUUAAGUUGGAUGUGAAAUCCCCGGGCUUAACCUGGGAAUGGCAUUCAAGACUGGUUAGCUAGAGUCUUGUAGAGGGGGUAGAAUUCCAUGUGUAGCGGUGAAAUGCGUAGAGAUGUGGAGGAUACCGGUGGCGAAGGCGGCCCCUGGGACAAAGACUGACGCUCAUGUGCGAAAGCGUGGGGAGCAAAC
rnacentral:rRNA from 1 species